rnacentral:rRNA from 1 species
UACCAGCACCCCGAGUGGUUGGGACGAUUAUUGGGCCUAAAGCAUCCGUAGCCGGUCCUACAAGUCUUCCGUUAAAUCCACCUGCUUAACAGAUGGGCUGCGGAAGAUACUAUGGAGCUAGGAGGCGGGAGAGGCAAGCGGUACUCGAUGGGUAGGGGUAAAAUCCGUUGAUCCAUUGAAGACCACCAGUGGCGAAGGCGGCUUGCCAGAACGCGCUCGACGGUGAGGGAUGAAAGCUGGGGGAGCAAACCGG